GAUGAACGCUGGCGGCGUGCCUAAUACAUGCAAGUCGAGCGAACAGACGAGGAGCUUGCUCCUCUGACGUUAGCGGCGGACGGGUGAGUAACACGUGGAUAACCUACCUAUAAGACUGGGAUAACUUCGGGAAACCGGAGCUAAUACCGGAUAAUAUAUUGAACCGCAUGGUUCAAUAGUGAAAGACGGUUUUGCUGUCACUUAUAGAUGGAUCCGCGCCGCAUUAGCUAGUUGGUAAGGUAACAGCUUACCAAGGCAACGAUGCGUAGCCGACCUGAGAGGGUGAUCGGCCACACUGGAACUGGGACACGGUCCAGACUCCUACGGGAGGCAGCAGUAGGGAAUCUUCCGCAAUGGGCGAAAGCCUGACGGAGCAACGCCGCGUGAGUGAUGAAGGUCUUCGGAUCGUAAAACUCUGUUAUUAGGGAAGAACAAAUGUGUAAGUAACUAUGCACGGCUUGACGGUACCUAAUCAGAAAGCCACGGCUAACUACGUG
rnacentral:rRNA from 1 species